rnacentral:rRNA from 1 species
CCUACGGGUGGCAGCAGUGGGGAAUAUUGCACAAUGGGGGGAACCCUGAUGCAGCAACGCCGCGUGGGUGAAGAAGUACUUCUGUAUGUAAAGCCCUUUCAGCAGGGAAGAAAAUGACGGUACCUGACCAAGAAGCCCCGUCUAACUACGUGCCAGCAGCCGCGGUAAUUCGUAGGGGGCAAGCGUUAUCCGGAUUUACUGGGUGUAAAGGGAGCGUAGACGGCAAGGCAAGUCUGGAGUGAAAGCCCGUGGCUGAACCACGGGACUGCUUUGGAAACUGGGUUGCUGGAGUGCAGGAGGGGUAAGCGGAAUGCCUAGUGUAGCGGUGAAAUGCGUAGAUAUUAGGAGGAACCCCGGUGGCGAAGGCGGCUUACUGGACUGUAACUGACGUUGAGGCUCGAAGGCGUGGGGAGCAAACAGGAUUAGAUACCCGGGUAGUC